UACGGAGGGUGCAAGCGUUGUUCGGAAUCACUGGGCGUAAAGGGCGCGCAGGUGGUUUGGUAAGUCAGAUGUGAAAGCCCACGGCUCAACCGUGGAAGUGCAUUUGAAACUGCCAGACUUGAGUACCAGAGGGGAAAGUGGAAUUCCCGGUGUAGAGGUGAAAUUCGUAGAUAUCGGGAGGAAUACCGGUGGCGAAGGCGACUUUCUGGCUGGAUACUGACGCUGAGGCGCGAAAGCGUGGGGAGCAAACAGGAUUAGAUACCCUAGUAGUCC
rnacentral:rRNA from 1 species